GCCGGAGUGGCCGAGCGGUUAAAGGCACUACAGUCUGGAACGCUGUGGUCGCAGGUUCGAAUCCUGCCUCGGGCA
rnacentral:tRNA from 1 species